CGAUCGUCGUCGUCUAGUAUUACGAACCGCCGCGCGAUUUCGACGUUCUCCGUUUGCGCGAAACGGUACGGCAGAAACGGCAUGCAGAACACGGGGAACCGACGAGGAAAGGAGAGCGGAGCGAGGGAACGAGCGUGUUGUACCACUAAAAUUAGAGCGACGUGACAGAGAAGGGGACGGGCUCCUUAUAGAGCUUGUGCACGACGCCGGGAGCUUGCGGCCAGGGUUAGCAAACUGGCAUUUUCUCUUUCUCGCCUCGAAGUAUCGGAUUACUUCGGGAACGUCGGUGCGCGCCGUCCGGCCCAUUCAGCUUCGACUUUCCUCCGGAUACCCCUUUUCCACGCAAGCGCUUUAAACAGCCACCAACAUGUCUGACGACGAGGAACAAUACUCGUAAGUAGUCCACCGAUUGUUUACACUCUCGAGCCAACGCCGAUCAAUAUAAAUUAUUGUCCAUUAUUCACGCGUCCGCAGUUCUCAAUCGCUUAUUUUGAAAACUGAUGCAAUUCCAA